rnacentral:rRNA from 1 species
UGCUUCUCUUGAGAGCGGCGGACGGGUGAGUAAUGCCUAGGAAUCUGCCUAGUGGUGGGGGAUAACGUUCGGAAACGGACGCUAAUACCGCAUACGUCCUACGGGAGAAAGCGGGGGAUCUUCGGACCUCGCGCCAUUAGAUGAGCCUAGGUCGGAUUAGCUAGUUGGUGAGGUAAUGGCUCACCAAGGCGACGAUCCGUAACUGGGCUGAGAGGAUGAUCAGUCACACUGGAACUGAGACACGGUCCAGACUCCUACGGGAGGCAGCAGUGGGGAAUAUUGGACAAUGGGCGAAAGCCUGAUCCAGCCAUGCCGCGUGUGUGAAGAAGGUCUUCGGAUUGUAAAGCACUUUAAGUUGGGAGGAAGGGUAGUAACCUAAUACGUUGCUACUUUGACGUUACCGACAGAAUAAGCACCGGCUAACUUCGUGCCAGCAGCCGCGGUAAUACGAAGGGUGCAAGCGUUAAUCGGAAUUACUGGGCGUAAUGCGCGCGUAGGUGGUUCAGUAAGUUGGAAGUGAAAUCCCCGGGCUCAACCUGGGAACUGCUUUCAAAACUGCUGAGCUAGAGUACGGUAGAGGGUGGUGGAAUUUCCUGUGUAGCGGUGAAAUGCGUAGAUAUAGGAAGGAACACCAGUGGCGAAGGCGACCACCUGGACUGAUACUGACACUGAGGUGCGAAAGCGUGGGGAGCAAACAGGAUUAGAUACCCUGGUAGUCCACGCCGUAAACGAUGUCAACUAGCCGUUGGAAUCCUUGAGAUUUUAGUGGCGCAGCUAACGCAUUAAGUUGACCGCCUGGG